CCUCACUGUUCUCAUAAUCUUUGAAACUCCACGAGGCGAGAUCUUGCAUGGAGCACCACACCGAGGGAGACUGACAGUUAUUUUGUGUUUCUUCCAUUUGCAAAUAAUCGCACCAACUGUUGUCACCCUUUCACCAAGCUGCUUGGCGAUGUUCUUGUAGCCUAUUCCAGCCUGAUGUAGGUCUACAAUCUUGUCCUGACAUCCUUGGACAGCUCUUUGGUCCUGGCCAUGGUGGAGAGUUUGGAAUGGUGUCUUUUAUACAGGUAAUAAACUGAGAUUAGGAGAACUCCCUUUAAGAGAGUGCUCCUAAUCUCAACUUGUUACCUG